UACGUAGGGUGCAAGCGUUGUCCGGAAUUAUUGGGCGUAAAGAGCUCGUAGGCGGUCUGUCGCGUCUGCUGUGAAAACUCGGGGCUUAACCCCGGGCCUGCAGUGGGUACGGGCAGACUAGAGUGCGGUAGGGGAGACUGGAAUUCCUGGGUGAUGAGCGGUGAAAUGACGCAGAUAUCAGGAGGGAACACCGGUGGCGAAGGCGGGUCUCUGGGCCGUAACUGACGCU
rnacentral:rRNA from 1 species